rnacentral:rRNA from 1 species
AGAGUUUGAUCCUGGCUCAGGAUGAACGCUGGCGGCGUGCCUAAUACAUGCAAGUCGAACGAGGUGCUUUUGUAGCAAUACGAGAGUAUCCUAGUGGCGAACGGGUGAGUAACGCGUGGGUGACCUGCCCCAAAGUGUGGGAUAACAGAUCGAAAGAUCUGCUAAUACCGCAUGUGGUUAUCGGGUUUAGAAAUCGGUAACUAAAGCAGCAAUGCGCUUUGGGAGGGACCUGCGUCCCAUCAGCUAGUUGGUGAGGUAACGGCUCACCAAGGCGACGACGGGUAGGGGACCUGAGAGGGUGGCCCCCCACAAUGGAACUGAAACACGGUCCAUACACCUACGGGUGGCAGCAGUAGGGAAUAUUGCUCAAUGGGCGAAAGCCUGAAGCAGCAACGCCGCGUGUGCGAUGAAGGCCUUCGGGUCGUAAAGCACUUUUCUGAGAGAUGAGAAAGGACAGUAUCUCAGGAAUAAGUCUCGGCUAACUACGUGCCAGCAGCCGCGGUAAAACGUAGGAGGCGAGCGUUAUCCGGAUUCACUGGGCGUAAAGCGCGUGCAGGCGGUUCGGUAAGUUGGGCGUGAAAUCUCCUGGCUUAACUAGGAGAGGUCGUUCAAUACUACCGGACUCGAGAGUGGUAGAGGAAGAUGGAAUUCCCGGUGUAGUGGUGAAAUGCGUAGAUAUCGGGAGGAACACCAGUGGCGAAAGCGAUCUUCUGGACCAUUUCUGACGCUCAGACGCGAAAGCUAGGGUAGUAAACGGGAUUAGAGACCCCGGUAAUCCUAGCCGUAAACGAUGU